UACGGAGGAUGCAAGCGUUAUCCGGAAUGAUUGGGCGUAAAGCGUCCGCAGGUGGCAAUGUAAGUCUGCUGUCAAAGCGUCUGACUCAACCAGAUAAAGGCAGUGGAAACUACAUAGCUAGAGUAAGGUAGGGGUAGAGGGAAUUCCUGGUGUAGCGGUGAAAUGCGUAGAGAUCAGGAAGAACACCGGUGGCGAAAGCGCUCUGCUGGACCUUAACUGACACUGAGGGACGAAAGCUAGGGGAGCGAAUGGG
rnacentral:rRNA from 1 species